rnacentral:rRNA from 1 species
GCUAGCGGCAGGCUUAACACAUGCAAGUCGAGGGGUAGCAGGGAGCUUGCUCCGCUGACGACCGGCGAACGGGUGCGUAACGCGUAUAGAAUCUACCUCUUACUAAGGGAUAGCCCAGAGAAAUUUGGAUUAAUAUCUUAUAGUAUGUUAACUUGGCAUCAAGAUAACAUUAAAGGUUACGGUAAGAGAUGACUAUGCGUCCUAUUAGCUAGAUGGUGUGGUAACGGCACACCAUGGCAACGAUAGGUAGGGGCCCUGAGAGGGGGAUCCCCCACACUGGUACUGAGACACGGACCAGACUCCUACGGGAGGCAGCAGUGAGGAAUAUUGGACAAUGGAGGCAACUCUGAUCCAGCCAUGCCGCGUGCAGGAAGACUGCCCUAUGGGUUGUAAACUGCUUUUAUACAGGAAGAAACACUCUCACGUGUGAGAGCUUGACGGUACUGUAAGAAUAAGGAUCGGCUAACUCCGUGCCAGCAGCCGCGGUAAUACGGAGGAUCCAAGCGUUAUCCGGAAUCAUUGGGUUUAAAGGGUCCGUAGGUGGAUAAUUAAGUCAGAGGUGAAAUCCUGCAGCUCAACUGUAGAAUUGCCUUUGAUACUGGUUGUCUUGAGUUAUUAUGAAGUAGUUAGAAUAUGUAGUGUAGCGGUGAAAUGCAUAGAUAUUACAUAGAAUACCAAUUGCGAAGGCAGAUUACUAAUAAUAUACUGACACUGAUGGACGAAAGCGUGGGGAGCGAACAGGAUUAGAUACCCUGGUAGUCCACGCCG